UGGAUUUUUUCCUGAAUGGUGUCGAUGAGGCUUUGAUUAGUGCUUUUCUAGUGUUACUGAGAGCCAAAGGAGAGACUUUCGAGGAAGCUGUAGGUUCUCUACUGAAGAAUUUUUGGGGGUGGUGAUGGAGCAAACACAGUUAACAUUUUGACUGGAGCUUCAAUACUUGCUGUAGCUUGUGGUGCCAAAAUUGCAAAG